UGUACGACCGUACCGCAACCCGACACUGGUGCGCGAGAUGAGUAUUCUAAGGCGCUUGAGAGAACUCAGGAGAAGGAACUCGGCAAAUUGACACCGUAACUUCGGAAGAAGGUGUGCCCUAUUAGUGUGUAGUGAACAACGAAGCAUGAAUGGGUUGCAAAAAAUCGGUGGCUGCGACUGUUUAUCAAAAACACAGCACUCUGCAAACACGAAAGUGGACGUAUAGGGUGUGACGCCUGCCCGGUGCUGGAAGAUUAAAUGAUGGGGUGCAAGCUCUUGAUUGAAGUCCCAGUAAACGGCGGCCGUAACUAUAACGGUCCUAAGGUAGCGAAAUUCCUUGUCGGGUAAGUUCCGACCUGCACGAAUGGCGUAACGAUGGCCACACUGUCUCCUCCUGAGACCCAGCGAAGUUGAAAUGUUUGUGAUGAUGCAAUCUCCCCGCGGAAAGACGGAAAGACCCCAUGAACCUUUACUGUAGCUUUGUAUUGGACUUUGAACAGAUCUGUGUGGGAUAGGUGGGAGGCUUUGGAGCAGGGUUGCUAGAUCUUGUGGAGCCAACGUUGAAAUACCACCCUGGUGUGUUUGAGGUUCUAACCUAGGUCCAUUAUCUGGAUCGGGGACAGUGCAUGGUAGGCAGUUUGACUGGGGCGGUCUCCUCCCAAAGCGUAACGGAGGAGUUCGAAGGUACGCUAGUUACGGUCGGACAUCGUGACGAUAGUGCAAUGGCAUAAGCGUGCUUAACUGCGAGACUGACAAGUCGAGCAGAUGCGAAAGCAGGACAUAGUGAUCCGGUGGUUCUGUAUGGAAGGGCCAUCGCUCAACGGAUAAAAGGUACUCUGGGGAUAACAGGCUGAUACCGCCCAAGAGUUCAUAUCGACGGCGGUGUUUGGCACCUCGAUGUCGGCUCAUCUCAUCCUGGGGCUGUAGCCGGUCCCAAGGGUAUGGCUGUUCGCCAUUUAAAGAGGUACGUGAGCUGGGUUUAAAACGUCGUGAGACAGUUUGGUCCCUAUCUUCCGUGGGCGCUGCAGAUUUGAGGAAGCCUGCUCCUAGUACGAGAGGACCGGAGUGGACACACCUCUGGUGUAUCGGUUGUCACGCCAGUGCAUUGCCGAGUAGCUAAGUGUGGAAGAGAUAACCGCUGAAAGCAUCUAAGCGGGAAACUCGUUUCAAGAUGAGAUCUGCCGGGGCCUUGAGCCCCCUAAAGAGUCGUUCAAGACCAGGACGUUGAUAGGUCAGGUGUGGAAGCGAAAAAAAAAAAAU
rnacentral:rRNA from 1 species